UGGUCCUAGCCUUAAAGUCAGUUAUUACUUAGUAUACACAUGCAAGUCUCCGCCCCCCUGUGAAAACGCCCUUCUAACCCCAAUAGGGACAAGGAGUUGGUAUCAGGCACGAUAAUCUGCCCAAGACACCUAGCUAUGCCACGCCCACAAGGGAACUCAGCAGUGAUUAACAUUGAACAUAAGCGACAGCUUGAUUCAGCUAAAAUAAAGAGGGCCGGCAAAUCUGGUGCCAGCCGCCGCGGUUACACCACGUGGCCCAAAUUGAUCAUAUCGGCGUAAAGCGUGAUUUAAGUCAUUAUAUAUUAGGGUUAAACUUAAAUUAGGCCGUGACACGCUUAUCUCUAAGAAACUCAAAAACGAAAGUUACUCCAACUAAUUCAACUUGAACUCACGACAGCUGGGACACAAACUGGGAUUAGAUACCCCACUAUGCCCAGCCGUAAACUUUUAUUUACACCACAAUCGCCCGGGAACUACGAGCAAAGCUUAAAACCCAAAGGACUUGACGGUACCCCACAUCCCCCUAGAGGAGCCUGUCCUAUAAUCGAUAAUCCCCGUUCAACCUCACCACUUCUAGCCUACCAGCCUGUAUACCUCCGUCGCCAGCUUACCACGUGAGCGAAUCCUAGUGAGCUUAACGCCUUUCACCAAUACGUCAGGUCAAGGUGCAGUAAAUGAAGUGGGAAGAGAUGGGCUACACUCUCUAACAUAGAAGACACGAAAAACUAACUGAAAACUAGCUAGAAGGCGGAUUUAGAAGUAAAAAGAAAUCAGAAAGUUCUUUUUAACCUGGCACUGGGGUGUGUACACACCGCCCGUCACCCUCUUCAAAGCAACUUUUAAGUGUCUAACAAACUAACGCCCCAUAGAAGAGGCAAGUCGUAACAUGGUAAGCGUACCGGAAGGUGUGCUUGGAAA
rnacentral:ncRNA from 1 species